ensembl:lncRNA
UGGAAUUUAAUUGAUUGGGAACAGAGGAAAUCUACUAGGCUGUCAAAGCUUCUGUUGGUAAUGCCCCUACUGCAGUUUGCAGAUCCCAUAGUUGCUGUGAGAUCGUCUCAAACAUCCUUCGACAAGCCAGAAAGGGAAAGGAAGAGAUGCUGAGAGGCAGCAGCACUGCAGUAAGAAAUGAGCAGGAACUCUGUGGAAGCGGUUCUUCACCACACUUCACUACAUGGUGGCGUAAUCUGUUAGGCACUGCACAAACAGGCACUUGUGUUCAUGGUGGGGAGCUGCCGGGGCAGGGGAUGUGAUUUUUUGCAGUGCUUGGCCUGCUGAUACUUCCAGCACAGCAGGGUGGUCACCUGUAUCAUUCCUCAUAAACUACAGAACAGCUGUCAGUGGGAAAGGACGGAGAGAAGAUGAAAAACUGAAAAGAUGUCUCUGCAGAAAGCUGACAUCUCCACAGUUUUCGGUCCCAGUGUAGUGUCAAGCUCUGGUUCUUCCAAAGAACUGGAACCUGAAGCUCAGAUUUAUCAAGCUAACCACUGCACAUGCAAGGUUGGAAAGAAAGGUCCGAAGGAAAGCUGUGACAAUUGGAGAUGAACUAACCACACUGUAACCAAAUGUUUGUGGUUUUGACAGGGA